CACAAGGGAGGAGGGCUAAGAAAUUCUGAAGCAGUUACAUCUGCGAUAUUAUGGUGUGUAGUCGGUAAUGGUUGGUGUGCUCUACAAAAAUGUGAUAUGUGAUCUCUCCUCCUCAACCGAAUAUUCUUAUUUGGAAAAAUACAAAUAUAGCAGCCUGGUUGUUUGUAGUCACAUGGCCAUGUCAGUGUCAACAAGCUGGAGAGGGUUAUUGUGUUAAUGUACUGUAGCUCCACUACCCGGGCGCUUUAUACUUCAGUAGGGAACCCAUGACUCUUAUCAGCUCAUUGCUUUCUUAAGCAGCUGCUACUGUUUGAAUAGUGUUAAGAGCAGCACAGAGGCCAUCACAACACUAGUGAUGCUGAGAGCAACAGAAGUGGAGCUUGUGCUUGCAUCACCUAGACCAAAGCCAAAAUGGCGUUUGUGAUGACGCACAACAAAUUCAUGAUGCUGAUGGUCUGCACACUUAUCUGGGCAUACCAAUGAGGAGGUAAGACAAUCUGGGCAUUUAUGGUAUAAGUAUAGUAUAUACUCUUUUGAUCCCGUGAGGGAAAUUUGGUCUCUGCAUUUAUCCCAAUACAUGAAUUAG